rnacentral:rRNA from 1 species
CAUAUAUUUACCGGAGGUAAAGCACUGAAUAGGUGAGGGGUCGAGAGAUUACCAACCCUUAUCAAACUAAGAAUGCCGGAUAAAUGAGUGCGGGAGUCAGACUGUGUGAGAUAAGUCUCACGGUCAAAAGGGAAACAGCCCAGACCCACAGCUAAGGUCCCCAAUAUAUGCUAAGUGGAGAAGGAUGUGGCAAUGCAAAGACAACCAGGACGUUGGCUUAGAAGCAGCCACUCAUUCAAAGAGUGCGUAAUAGCUCACUGGUCGAGUGAUGCUGCGCCGAAGAUUUAACGGGGCUAAAGCAUAUAACCGAAGCUUGGGCAGUCAUAUGACUGGGUAGGGGAGCGUCGAAUUAGGGGCGAAGCAUGAGCGGAAGCACAUGUGGACUUAAUUCGAGUGAGAAUGCCGGAAUGAGUAGCGAGAAUUGCGUGAGAAUCGUAAUGGCCGAAAAUCUAAGGUUUCCGUGGGAAGGUUCGUCCGCCACGGGUAAGCCGGGGGCUAAGGCGAGGCCGAAAGGCGUAGUCGAUGCACAUACGGUAGAUAUUCCGUAGCCGUCUAAGUUUAAGCACACUGACAUGUAUCCGGACUGUGACCCGAGCGUUGGUUGACUCGGGCGAAAGGGACUGAAAAAUAGUAGGGAAGCACAGGAAAGAUAUAGCGAGAAAAGGUGUGAGGAAUACGAAAGGCGCCCGUACCGCAAACCGACACAGGUAGAUGAGGAGAGAAUCCUAAGGCCAACGGGAGAAGGGUUGUUAAGGAACUCGGCAUAUUAACCCCGUAACUUCGGAAUAAGGGGUGCCACUGAAAGGUGGUCGCAGUGAAAAGGCCCAGGCGACUGUUUAUCAAAAACACAGGUCUCUGCAAAACCGAAAGGUGAAGUAUAGGGGCUGACGCCUGCCCGGUGCUGGAAGGUCAAGGGGAAUGCUUAGAGCAAUCGAAGGCAUGAACUUAAGCCCCAGUAAACGGCGGCCGUAACUAUAACGGUCCUAAGGUAGCGAAAUUCCUUGCCAGGUAAGUUCUGGCCCGCACGAAUGGCGUAACGAUCUGGGCACUGUCUCAACAGCCUACCCGGCGAAAUUGUAGUACCGGUGAAGAUGCCGGUUACCCGCGACUAGACGGAAAGACCCCAUGGAGCUUUACUGUAGCCUGAUACUGAUAUUUGAUCCAUUAUGUACAGGAUAGGUGGGAGACUGGGAAGCAUAGGCGUCAGCUUGUGUGGAGUCGACCUUGGGAUACCACUCUUGAUGGAUCAGGUAUCUAACCUGCAGCCGUGAAUCCGGUUGGGGGACAAUGUCAGGUGGGCAGUUUGACUGGGGCGGUCGCCUCCAAAAGAGUAACGGAGGCGUUCAAAGGUUAGCUCAGCGCGGACGGAAAUCGCGCAAUGAGUGCAAACGCAGAAGCUGGCCUAACUGUGAGACCAACAAGUCGAGCAGUAACGAAAGUUGGAGUUAGUGAUCAGGUGGUAUGUGAGUGGAAAUGCCAUCGCUUAACGGAUAAAAGCUACCCUGGGGAUAACAGGCUGAUUUCCCCCAAGAGUUCACAUCGACGGGGAAGUUUGGCACCUCGAUGUCGGCUCAUCACAUCCUGGGGCUUGGAGAAGGUCCCAAGGGUUCGGCUGUCCGCCGAUUAAAGUGGUACGCGAGCUGGGUUCAGAACGUCGUGAGACAGUUCGGUCCCUAUCUGUCGUGGGCGCAGGAUAUUUGAGAGGAGCUGACCUUAGUACGAGAGGACCGGGUCGGACGCACCACCGGUGCAUCAGUUGUCAUGCCAAUGGCAUAGCUGAGUAGCCGCGUGCGGAUGGGAUAAACGCUGAAAGCAUCUAAGCGUGAAGCCCACCUCGAGAUAAGAUAUCCCACAGCACAGCUGGUAAGGUCACUCGUAGACUACGAGUUUGAUAGGUCGGAGGUGUAAGCACAGUAAUGUGUUCAGCUGACCGAUACUAAUAGACCGAGGGCUUGAACUA